AAUUUUUAAUCAUUUUAUUAAAAUUAAUAAAAUUACAUUUAAAUCCUUUUUCAAUUAAAUAAUUUCAAUUUUAAUAUUCAUUUAAAUAAAUUUAUUGUAAUUCAUUUAUUCUAAAUUAUUAAUUACAUCUUGAUUUGAUUUAAUUUUAUUUUUAAAAUUUUAAAUAUUAUAAAUUUAUAAAAAAUAUUUUUUUAACAAUGAUAUAUAAAUUUUUAAAUUAAGUAAAUUAAUUCGUGGAUUAUCAAUUAUUAAACAAAUUCCUCUAAAUAAAAUAAAAUACUGCCAAAUUAUUUAAGUUUCAUAUAAUAAUAUAAAUUACUAUUUUAGUAUUAAAUUAUUUAAUUUUAUAAUAGGGUA
rnacentral:rRNA from 1 species